UUUGGAGAUGUAGUUCUAAAAACCAGUGAACAAGAAGCACAUGGGAGCCGCUCAAUGCUCUACUAUUGAAAGUUGAGUAGGUGAUUAUGAGAUGAAGACGCUGGAAGAAGUUGGUGUGGUUGUUUGUCAGUAAAACUUAUCUGUAGUCAAGUCAUAACCAGCCCGUUGACCAUCAUCCGAAUGCUUCUGAUAAUAAUCAAGUGUUUUCUAUUGAAUAUGUUACAAUCCAUUCGGAAGCAAACUGAGUUACUAGCAGUUUAAGAAGAUGUUAUACACCUGACUUACAAAGAUCUUUUUCAUAUCCACAAGGCAUUUCAUGACGAUCCAAGUAUAUUGCUGAUCAAAUAGAAAAUAUGUAAUUUUCUGUUUCGGUAAUAAACGGGCAAUUCAACGUAUAGCUGGGGCAGCCUGAUUUCCUCUUACACAUGCCCGCUAGCAGCAGCAUUUACGACCAGGCGGUUGCGGCCUGACUUGGCGGCUCUUCCUUUUUGUUUUGUGUUUGAAUCAGAUUUGGUGGUCUCGAUUUUACAUGCAUGUGUUGAUCUUGGUCUUGUUCUGUAUGCAGGUAGGGUACACUUGAUGUUUCAUGUUUGGUGAAAGAAAAGGAGCUUCCUAUGUUGAUUUCGGGCAAGACAUACAUUCUGCCAUGCAUUAGUAGAUCAAUUGCUUCUUUGUGUAGGGGAACGAUUAGUGAUUGAAUCUCUCUGACUCGUUUCUUGAUUAUCCAAUUAAUUUACCCUCAUCUAUGCAUAAAUUGGUCCGAUUGAGUUAUGCCAUUUUUUUUAAUAAUCUAUAUUAGUUCUAUAUAUGACUAGAACAAUAUGAUACGAUGCACAUCGGUCCGCUUUACUGGCAGCUAUCCUUCAAGAUUGAGGGGAGGCACUCUUGUGGACCUGCCCAAUGUUCGAGGAGAUACAGCUGACUAAACAAGUCAAAUCAAGACAAUUUGCAACUUUGGUGUUGUGACGUUGGAGGCCGUGCUCAACAGCAAUGGGGGACUGUUCGUUGAUGCCUGACCCAUGAUGCCGGUGAAGGAAUGAGAGUCGACGAGGAGUGGACGCCAUGGGUUCGUGAACUGGCGAAGCCUCCGUUGUCCGUUUGGUAAUGUCCGACGCAUCAUAGGCAUAGUAUGACUUGUCUCGUUUAUGAUGUCGUCUACAAACAUCCAACGGAGGGGAACCCGUCCCAGUUUCCAUCUUGAUGCAAUAUGUGAGUUGUUUGCUUGCUCAACCUUACGCUGGGAUCAUGUCUAUAGACUACAAAUAGAGGGAAGUUGGCCUGUGCCUUACUAGAGAGAGAUGAACCAAUAAAAUGAUUGGAAAGGUUCUUCCCAAGCAAAAGAUUACCUAUGAUGAAAAUUACAUUCUCUGCGGGCGCUGAUUCUGAUAUAUUACUAUGGCAAAGGAAGUUCAAAAUUUAUCUCAAUCAAGCAUGUGCAAAGGAAAAUCCAAAAUAUGUCAUGACGCCGCCGUCGCCUCGGAUCCCCACAUGCCGCCAGCAUGGCUGUGACAACUGAUGAGCACGCUCCACCCCCAUUCCUGCCACAGAUGAAGAAAAGUAGGCUCAAUCAGGCCAUGACCAGAGUUGAAGAAGGCUCAGGCAGAUGGUGAUACUCUCAAACCAGGAGACCCCAACCCGGUAACCAAGACAUGGAAAAGUGGAGUGCGGCCGUAAAGAAUGCUCAUCAAAUUGCUGGCUCCAUGUUGCCUAUCCACUGUCAUCAUACUUGUCUGCAUCAAAACGUCUCCGUUGAUGUUGAAUAUGAAACAGUUGCCAUUGUCCCACCAGCAGCACCGAAGACGAGCCCAGCAGCAACAUGAUGGAGACCAACAGUACUUCUUGAUCCGGUAUCUGAAUCAUUGGUCGUCAGUGUUUCCGCAGAAAGCGUGUAGAGGGAGAUGGUUCUGCCGAUAACCGACACACUGAGGUAGGUGUAGGUCUGGACGCUGGUGCUGUUGGAGGCGCGCCGGUCGAGCUCAGCCAUCACUCAGCCGGGCUGUACUUUGAGCUGUCACAGAAAGAUCAUGAUCAUCUUUUAGCGAAUACAAAGGCUAGGUGGGGCGGUCGAUUUGCAGCGGGGUGGCGUGAGGGAUAUCUCGUUUGGAAGAGCAGGUGGAGUACAAGGUUACAAGGUCGUGUCGAGGUCCAAUGACCGGAAUAUCGGCUCCACAGAGGACGCCAUCACAGCCCGUCUUUCCGGCUUGAGGCUUAUCAAACACUUUUGGGUUCAAGAUUCAGGACAAACAAGGCAAGAUGCACAAAUUUAACUGUGGUAUGCACUCUCAUUUUGGUGUCACACAACUGGAGUUAUAUCAUCGCUCUUUCUUUUCCCAUGUCAUGCCCAGUAAUUUAUACUAUUGUUCAAGCUCCAUUGAUAAAUCGAACCUACCUCAAAUUCUGUACGAAGAUGAUGAUCACAAUAAAGUCAUGCUCUCAUCGGAUUCCGACCAUAUAGCGACUGUGUACCAUGCAAAGCAAAUCGCUUGGAAGGUAAUAAGAGGCAAAUUCAACCUUCACUCUACAAAAUCUGCAACACAUCAUAUUAAUUGGAAACUCAACUCUUGAUUGCAAAAGUUAAGUCUGUGCUAUAAAUGCAGGCAAUACAAAAGGUAGGAAGAACUUAGGAAGGUUCCUUUUUUGUCGUCAUAAUGGAAUAAUUUAACUAAGUUGCUCUCUGCUGGUUGUUUGAAGACAAAUUAUAAUGUGUAACCUACCAAAUACUAAAUUAAACUUUAUCAUCAGUUCCAUGUUAUUCCAUGUAGUAGUGUAUGCGGGAAUUAUAUUGAUGAUUUCAUUUUACCUUCAUAUCUGCUUAAUUUUCUUACCAAACACAAAAGCUCUAUGUCUUGAUGUGUUCAUAGAAGCGAAGAUAUAACUCAUGAUGCAAGCCUAAUAUGCUGAUAAUAUUUUUACGGUUCAAUGUUCCUAUGAGGGGAGUGGGUGGGGACGGCAAUGAGUGUCUUAACAUAUCAAGCAGUUGCCGCCUAUGAGGGGAGUGAGUGGAGAUGGCCAGAUCUGUGCGGCGGAGGGGCGAUGGAAGCUCGAAUGGAAGAUUUCUCGCCAGCAUCGGAGCAAUUUAUUGGCCA